UACGUAGGGGGCAAGCGUUGUUCGGAAUUACUGGGCGUAAAGGGCUCGUAGGCGGCCAACUAAGUCAGACGUGAAAUCCCUCAGCUUAACUGGGGAACUGCGUCUGAUACUGGAUGGCUUGGAUUCGGGAGAGGAAUGCGGAAUUCCAGGUGUAGCGGUGAAAUGACGUAGAUAUCUGGAGGAACACCGGUGGCGAAGGCGGCAUUCUGGACCGACAUUGACGCUGAGGAGCGAAAGCCAGGGGAGCAAACGGG
rnacentral:rRNA from 1 species